GAUGAAGAACGCAGCGAAAUGCGAUAAGUAGUGUGAAUUGCAGAAUUCAGUGAAUCAUCGAAUCUUUGAACGCACAUUGCGCCCCUCGGUAUUCCGUGGGGCAUGCCUGUUCGAGCGUCAUUUACCCCUCAAGCACUGCUUGGUGUUGGGCGUCUGUCCCGCUUCGCGCGCGGACUCGCCCCAAAGGUAUUGGCAGCGGUCGUGCCAGCUUCUCGCGCAGCACAUUGCGCUUCUCGAGGCGGUCGAUCGGCGUCCACGAAGCUCACCUCCACCGUUUGACCUCGGAUCAGGUAGGGAUACCCGCUGAACUUAAGCAUAUCAAAGCGGAGGA
rnacentral:misc_RNA from 1 species